rnacentral:rRNA from 1 species
AGUGAACGCUGGCGGCGUGCCUAAUACAUGCAAGUCGAACGGAGAUUAAGUAGCUUGCUUCUUACUCUUAGUGGCGCACGGGUGAGUAAUAUAUAGCUAACUUGCCCAUUACUAAGGGACAUCAGUUGGAAACGACUGCUAAUACCUCAUACUCUGUAUCUAUAUAAGUAGAUCCGGGAAAGUUUUCCGGUAAUGGAUAGGUCUAUAUCGUAUCAGCUAGUUGGUAAGGUAUUGGCUUACCAAGGCUAUGACGCGUAACUGGUCUGAGAGGAUGAUCAGUCAAACUGGAACUGAGACACCGUCCAGGAUCCUACCGGAGGCAGCAGUAGGGAAUAUUGGUCAAUGGGGGAAACCCUGAAGCAGCAACGCCGCGUGGAGGAUGACACUUUUCGGAGCGUAAACUCCUUUUCUUGGGAAAGAAUUAUGACGGUACCCAAGGAAUAAGCACCGGCUAACUCCGUG